rnacentral:lncRNA from 1 species
CUUUUCCCUUAGAAACAAUAAAAGCGUGGUGGCGACUCUUGUUAAUUGAUCUCUAGCUUGUCAAUAGCUUGAUGAUCAUGAAUUUCCCGCUACACAUGCAUAAAACACAACAUCAGAUAUUUCAUUGUGCAUUUUAUCGCAUUGAUUUUUCUUUUGAUCCCCUGCCUUGGUGAUAUUAUCUCCCCAUGUAGAUUUGGUGUGUUUGUCCUUCUUAAAUUGUAGAGUGUCA